rnacentral:lncRNA from 1 species
CCUAGGGCUAGUGGAAGACUUAAGAUGGCGGCGUUUGCACGGAGUGCAAUCACUGCGUCCUUACGGGGGUUGCAAGGCGUCCGAAGUAUGAGUCCACUAACAAAAGUCCAGAAACUCGCCAGUUAAUAGUAUUGUGUCUCUUCAAAAUAUCGGAGAAUAAUUUCUUUCUCGCUGAUCGCCUAACUUCUACUGACGAAGCUUGGAAGUUGCAGAAGGUUGGAGUGCAAUGGCGCGAUCUCGGCUGACUGCAACCUCCACCUCCUGGAUUCAAGCUAUUCUCCUGCCUCAGCCUGCCGAGUAGCUGGGAUUACAGGCAUGUGCCACCGCACCCAGCUAAUUUUGUAUUUUUUAGUAGAGAUGGGGUUUCUCCAUGUUGGUCAGGCUGGUCUUGAACUCCUGACCUCAGGUGAUCCGCCCACCUCAGCCUCCCAAAGUGCUGGGAUUACAGGCGUGAGCCACCGCGCCCGGCCAGAACAUUAGUUUUAAACUUCCUAACCCUUGGGAGAAGGCAAAACACUUGAUGAAAUCUACAUAAAGACUAAAACAUUUUACCAAUUUUGCAUUGUUUGUUUGAAAUUGCAUUGACGACUGGAUGUUAAAAAUCAUGCAUGGCUGGGCAUGGUGGCUCACGCCUGUAAUCCCAGCACUUUGGGAGGCUGAGGCAGGUGAAUCACCUGAGGUCAGGAGUUUGAGACCAGCCUGGCCAACAUGGUGAAACCCUGGCUCUACUAAAAAU